CUGUGAUCAAAAGAAUCAAACCAAUCAUUACAAACUUGUGAAGUAAACAAAUAAAUCCCGCUCAAAUCUUAAUUCUAACAUUAUAAGGUCAUCCAAAAGAAGACAUUUGACAGACUUAAAAAUGCACCUCUUCUCAGCUUUUUUUUUAAAAAAAAAUAUACUUCUUUAUUUUGUUUUUUGUUUUUUGUUUCUUCUUGUUGCUCUCUUAACUUUGUUUGCUGGUUUAAACGGAUAGAUUGAAUUUUAUUCUCUUAGGCUCUCUUAGAAGAGAGGAACAAUGGAGGAAGUCUAAAGGACUAAAAUUCUAUGAGGAAAAUUGUCUAAAUCCCUUUGAAGUAAAGGAUGGGGUUCCUACAUUCUCUAAAAUUUGUAUGACAUAGCUUUGUUUCAUAGAAAUUUUACUAAUAAGAGGUUAAACCUCAUGGAUAGUUUUGCCUUGUGUGACACUCUCAUUAAGGCCUCAUUUGGAUUCACUCGUAUUCCAUCUAAAUCUACUUCAACAUAUACAGAUUGAGAUGAGUAUAAGUGCAUCCAAAUAAGUUCUAGAUUAAUUUGUGUGUUUUUGUGCUCUAUCAAACCUUCAAUCUUGUAUUUCCCCCAUGUGUUCUCCAUCUAUAUAGAAUCCCAAAAUUUUAGGACAAUUUAUUCCUACAUUUCUUUAAUUCCUACGUUUCCUUCCAAGGCGCUUAAUCCGAAGUCGCAAGAUUUACCACUGCUGGCGUCACGAUCCGACAUUGCGCAUCACCCGGGAAAGGACAAUUACACGAUAUAAGUAAUGCCCGGAGGCCGCCGGCCGGAGAGUGGGCAUCGUGGUUUCGCGGCAACGAGGAGUGUAGUGGGCGUAGCAGUCGCGGCAAACGUGUGCAAAGCGGUUAGCCUACUGCUUCCUACUACUCUGCUCCUAGGCCUUGUUUACUUCCCAGAAAAUUUUGCAAAAUUUUUCACAUUCCCCGUCACAUCGAAUCUUUAGACGCAUGCAUAG
rnacentral:lncRNA from 1 species